AUUGAACGCUGGCGGCAUGCCUAACACAUGCAAGUCGAACGGCAGCGCGGGUAGCAAUACUUGGCGGCGAGUGGCGGACGGGUGAGGAAUGCAUCGGAAUCUGCCCAGUUGUGGGGGAUAACUGGCCGAAAGGCCAGCUAAUACCGCAUACGACCGAGAGGUGAAAGCGGGGGACCUUCGGGCCGUCGCGCGAUUGGAUGAGCCGAUGCCGGAUUAGCUAGUUGGUGGGGUGGAAGGCCUACCAAGGCGACGAUCCGUAGCUGGUCUGAGAGGAUGAUCAGCCACACUGGCACUGAGAUACGGGCCAGACUCCUACGGGAGGCAGCAGUGAGGAAUAUUGCGCAAUGGGCGAAAGCCUGACGCAGCGACGCCG
rnacentral:rRNA from 1 species